GUGCCAGCAGCCGCGGUAAUACGUAGGCAGCGAGCGUUGUUCGGAGUUACUGGGCGUAAAGGGUGCGUAGGCGGUCCCUUAAGUUUGGUGUGAAAUCUCCCGGCUCAACUGGGAGGGUGCGCCGGAUACUGAGGGACUUGGAGUGCGGGAGAGGAAAGUGGAAUUCCUGGUGUAGCGGUGAAAUGCGUAGAUAUCAGGAGGAACACCGGUGGUGUAAACGGCUUUCUGGACCGUAACUGACGCUGAGGCACGAAAGCGUGGGGAGCAAACAGGAUUAGAAACCCCCGUAGUCC
rnacentral:rRNA from 1 species